AUAAGGGCUAUUAUAGCAUUUGUUUACAGCGUUUUCCCGGCCGCGCUAUAGUAGGUAGCUUUCGUUCCUUUGCUUUUAACUUCAAUAGCAUUUCAUUAAAACUCCCCUCAUCUAUAGCGUUUUCUUCUCCGUUCCAUAGCGUUCUAGAACGGCAAAAAAAGGCGCUAACACUUUUUGCGCUCCUGCUCUGAUAUUUCUCCAAAUAUUUCUAAUUUUCCCUUCUCAUCUGGGGAAAGAAGUUGCGUAGAAUCACUUCUCCCAGUUUCCCAUCUCAUCUGCGUACUCAGGUUUAUAGGUUGAUAAAGAAGUGCUGUUGUGACUUUUUGCUGAAGAUAUAAGUAUGAUCUUGCUAGUGUGUUGGUUGUUAUGAUCGCUUGGUUGGUUGAAGCCUUUUUGUUGAUACUUAUGGGAUGGAUAGAUUUUGGAAGGACUGUUUUGGUUGAAGCCUUUUUGUUAAUAUUUUGGUGCUAAGGUUUGAACUCCACUUUUGGGAUACAUAGAUGUUUUGGAAUGCCUUUUUGUUGAUAUUUGGUGACAAGGCUUGUACUCUACUUUUGGGAUAGAUAGAAAUGUUGGAAGGACAUUUAGUAUAUUAAAUUUCUUUUAUGUAAUGGUAAUCGCUUUGAUGUUUGGAGACAUUUUGUUGGUUUUGUAUGCAAUAUUGUGAAAUAUAUUGCCAAGGAAGUCAUUGGAGCUGCCA